rnacentral:tRNA from 1 species
CAGGGCGUAGUUCAGAUGGUAGAACGCCAGGUUCGGGACUUGGAGGUCGCUGGUUCGAAUCCAGUCGCCCUGACCA